UACAGAGGUCCCGAGCGUUGUUCGGAUUCAUUGGGCGUAAAGGGUGCGUAGGCGGCGGGGCAAGUCUGAUGUGAAAUCCCGGGGCUCAACCCCGGAACUGCAUUGGAUACUGCCUUGCUAGAGUACUGGAGAGGGAACUGGAAUUUACGGUGUAGCAGUGAAAUGCGUAGAGAUCGUAAGGAAGGCCGGUGGCGAAGGCGAGUUCCUGGACAGUGACUGACGCUGAGGCACGAAGGCCAGGGGAGCAAACGGG
rnacentral:rRNA from 1 species